AAAAGACCCAGGAUAAAUAUUUGCCUUAAAGCUGCAGACGAGCUGCCCACAACCACACCUUCGGAGGUCUGAAGACAGAAAUAUGUGCACUAUUCAGAGAUGUUAUCUCCGCUCAGAACGGUUUCCUCCUAAAUUAAACAGACUGGUGAAGAUAUGAGAAGCAUCUUGAGCCAAAUAUAUACAGAUUUGUACACAGAAGCCUUCUGAUCCCCGAGCAACCCACAGUAAAAUCUUGUCACAACGGAAUAAUAAACAUUUAUCAUAUUUUUCAACUUUCCAAAGUUCGUAGUGUACCAAGACAAUUGCAACUGGCUCUCUUCGUUUGUCUCUCAGAUGCAGAAAGCAACAGCACAAUAUUGUGCCAUAAUGAAUUCUUCAUCAUGAUUGAAAAAGUGCAAAAGGGAAACAUGUUUAAUAGGCUGAAAAAUAAGAAAGACCAGCUAAUGGAAGGCUGAAGUGAACAACUGAACUGCAUUCUGCCUCAUACCCAAAAAACAGUGCUGUUGAAGAGCUGUCCCAUUUCCUAAACAAGCUCAGUGCUUUGGAGGCAGG
rnacentral:lncRNA from 1 species